AGAACGAACGCUGGCGGCAUGCCUAAUACAUGCAAGUCGAACGAAGGCUUCGGCCUUAGUGGCGCACGGGUGCGUAACGCGUGGGAAUCUGCCCCUUGGUUCGGAAUAACAGUUGGAAACGACUGCUAAUACCGGAUGAUGACGAAAGUCCAAAGAUUUAUCGCCAAAGGGAUGAGCCCGCGUAGGAUUAGCUAGUUGGUGAGGUAAAGGCUCACCAAGGCGACGAUCCUUAGCUGGUCUGAGAGGAUGAUCAGCCACACUGGGACUGAGACACGGCCCAGACUCCUACGGGAGGCAGCAGUAGGGAAUAUUGGACAAUGGGCGAAAGCCUG
rnacentral:rRNA from 1 species